GGGAUGGGUUAAAAUGGCCUAUUUUCAUCUUCAAAUCCGGUGGCGGGCGCGACCCGUCCGCGGUGGGUUCGAUUCCCACCUACUCCCGCCA
rnacentral:tRNA from 1 species